CUGGCGGCAUGCCUAACACAUGCAAGUCGAACGGACCUUAUCAGUGUAUCGGUAAGGUUAGUGGCAGACGGGUGAGUAAUACGUGGGCAAUCUGCCCUCGAGAAGGGGAUAACCUUGGGAAACCAGGGCUAAUACCGCAUGAGACCACGACCGGACAUCCGGUUGAGGUCAAAGCUCCGCAAGGGGCGCUCGAGGAGGAGCCCACGGCCUAUCAGCUAGUUGGCGGGGUAACGGCCCACCAAGGCUACGACGGGUAAGCGGUCUGAAAGGACGACCGCUCACAAUGGCACUGAGACACGGGCCAUACUCCUACGGGAGGCAGCAGUGGGGAAUUUUGCGCAAUGGGGGAAACCCUGACGCAGCGAUGCCGCGUGGAGGACGAAGGUCUUCGGAUUGUAAACUCCUUUUGCGGGGGAAAAAUGUCAGCGUGAAGAGCGUUGAAUGAUGGUACUCCGCGAAUAAGCCACGGCUAACUUCGUGCCAGCAGCCGCGGUAAGACGAAGGUGGCGAGCGUUACUCGGAAUUACUAGGCGUAAAGCGUGAGCAGGCGGUUCGGUAAGUCCGUUGUGAAAGCCCCGGGCUCAACCCGGGGAGGCCAAGGGAUACUGCCGGACUUGAAUACGGGAGAGGUUACUGGAAUUCCUGGUGUAGCGGUAAAAUGCGUAGAUAUCAGGAGGAACACCGAAGGCGAAAGCAGGUAACUGGACCGUUAUUGACGCUGAGUCACGAAAGCCGGGGGAGCA
rnacentral:rRNA from 1 species